GUGUCAGCCGCCGCGGUAAUACGUAGGUGGCAAGCGUUGUCCGGAAUUACUGGGCGUAAAGAAUGCGUAGGCGGUCUUUUAAGUGGGAUGUGAAAUCCCUGGGCUCAACCCAGGAACUGCAUUCCAAACUGGAAGACUAGAGUGCGGGAGAGGAAAUUGGUAUUCCCAGUGUAGCGGUGAAAUGCGUAGAGAUUGGGAGGAACACCAGUAGCGAAGGCGAAUUUCUGGAACGUAACUGACGCUGAGGCAUGAAAGCGUGGGGAGCAAACAGGAUUAGAUACCCUGGUAGUCCACGCCGUAAACGAUGAGUACUAGGUGUAGGGGGGUACCACCCCCUGUGCCGCAGUUAACACAUUAAGUACUCCGCCUGGGAAGUACGAUCGCAAGAUUAAA
rnacentral:rRNA from 1 species